GACGAACGCUGGCGGCGUGCUUAACACAUGCAAGUCGAACGGUGAAGCGCCUUCCUUUUUGGUGGGUGUGGAUGAGUGGCGAACGGGUGAGUAACACGUGAGUAACCUGCCCCCUUCUUCUGGAUAACCGCAUGAAAGUGUGGCUAAUACGGGAUAUUCUGGGUCUGUCGCAUGAUGGGUCUGGGAAAGAUAUUGUUUCGGUGGGGGAUGGGCUCGCGGCCUAUCAGCUUGUUGGUGGGGUGAUGGCCUACCAAGGCGGUGACGGGUAGCCGGCCUGAGAGGGUGGACGGUCACACUGGGACUGAGAGACGGCCCAGACUCCUACGGGAGGCAGCAGUGGGGAAUAUUGCACAAUGGGCGCAAGCCUGAUGCAGCGACGCCGCGUGAGGGAUGGAGGCCUUCGGGUUGUGAACCUCUUUCGCCAGUGAAGCAGGCCUGCCUCGUUUGUGGGUGGGUUGACGGUAGCUGGAUAAGAAGCGCCGGCUAACUACGUG
rnacentral:rRNA from 1 species